UUCUUUUUUUUUUUUUUAAUUAUCUCUCUGGGUCAUGUCAUGUAUGCUUUCUUUCACGUGCAUUGCAUACCAAUCACCGGCCGCACCGCAGGCCCUCAGAGCGCUCCGCCAUUUCACCGGCAUCUGAUUCCAUCCACCGCCAUGAGAAGUCCUUCUCUUCCAUUCUGGGUUCCCUGAUCCACGACGCCGUCACCAUCUCCUGAUGGGAUUCUCCCCAGGGUUUUUGUUCCCCAGAUACUAAAAGAACUAGAAGAAGGGAAAAGUAUCUUCCAGAUAGAUUUGAUAAACAGAUGCCCAUUUUUAUUCCAAAUCCAGAUACAACAGACAAUUUCCCCCUUCAAAGCAUUAAUUUGCCCCAUGAUGAAUUCUGUACCCAGCAAUAUAAGUUCCAUUAUGAAGCAGCCAAUUCAAAUUGAUUUAUCACUUGAAGAGCUGGCAAAUUUGCGAAAACAGCUGCAUAUUCAGGCAGCCCCAUACAAUACUUGGAUAACUCAGUAAUGCUGAGAGCAUGUAUCAAAAUCUGAAUGCCAUCAGAAACUUUUUUGGGAGCAGAAGAUUAAAGAUGAUCCUGUGGAGUCAUAUGCCCUGCCGCUUACCAAGUGGAGAUUAAAUUGUGAUGUGUUCCUCUAGGAACAAGAUCUAAACCAUUGGGAGUUCAAAUAAUGUACAUGGCAACAAUAAAAGAACAUGGAGAACUGGAAACAGUAAUGCAAGUUUUAU